rnacentral:rRNA from 1 species
GAUGAACGCUGGCGGCGUGCCUAAUACAUGCAAGUCGAGCGAACAGACGAGGAGCUUGCUCCUCUGACGUUAGCGGCGGACGGGUGAGUAACACGUGGAUAACCUACCUCUAAGACUGGGAUAACUUCGGGAAACCGGAGCUAAUACCGGAUAAUAUAUUGAACCGCAUGGUUCAAUAGUGAAAGACGGUUUUGCUGUCACUUGUAGAUGGAUCCGCGCCGCAUUAGCUAGUUGGUAAGGUAACGGCUUACCAAGGCAACGAUGCGUAGCCGACCUGAGAGGGUGAUCGGCCACACUGGAACUGAGACACGGUCCAGACUCCUACGGGAGGCAGCAGUAGGGAAUCUUCCGCAAUGGGCGAAAGCCUGACGGAGCAACGCCGCGUGAGUGAUGAAGGUCUUCGGAUCGUAAAACUCUGUUAUUAGGGAAGAACAAAUGUGUAAGUAACUAUGCACGUCUUGACGGUACCUAAUCAGAAAGCCACGGCUAACUACGUG